UGCUCAAGUUUUUGUUAAUACAGGGGGAAUCAAAAUGCAUAAGGACAUAUGUUUAUACUGCUAGCAGAAAAUUAUGCAAUUUAAUUGGCUGUUGAAGUUGCAGAAUAUUGUGCUUUAACUUUGAAAGAGGUACCUAAUCUUGUGCCUGAAGGUGAUCAGACCUUCAAUAGCAAUAUUACAGAAAGCAUUAUCCAUAAUUUCCCUGAUUAUCUUUCUACUAGGCUACGCAUAUAUUAGCAGAUUUAUUCUUUUUCUCCAUGCUUAUUAUCCACCAAACAUCACCACAUAUGUCAUUUCUGAAAAUAGGGUAAUGACAAAUUUAUGGAUUUUGUUCUUAUGAAAUGUUACUUAACUUUAA
rnacentral:lncRNA from 1 species